UGUUGUUCUGUGCAUGUUCCGGCCUUGGCUUCUCUGUUGUCAUUCUGAUUUGCUCUCUGGUAUUGAUUCUGGUGUUUCACUUCUUUCAUCUUUCUUGUUGAAAGAUUAGGUAAACCAGAGGGAUUGGGAAGGAGUUAACCAGAUGAAGUAUUUGUCUGGGAGGAAGUGGAAAGUGUCGUUGGGAAAAGGAGAGCCCCAGGCAGAAAAGAUGUAGAGGAUUUUAUGUAGAUACUGCUUAAUAGUGAGAGACGGAGUUGUUUGACUUGAAAUAAAGACUUACAGACAUACAGUUUUAAUUUUUAUGUGGUGCCUUGACAGCUCUACACCAUCCUUUCCACUAACAGAGAUUAAUUCCGUGUCUCUUGAGUCAAAUUCUUUAUACCACAAAUGCAGACUGGAGCCUUCCAGUAAUGGUGUCUGCCUCUGCUUCACUGGCGACCCACAGUGCAGCAGUGUGCUGGCAAUUAAAAUGGGGAACUUUUCUUUCACUUUUGCUUGGAUCUUGAAGUGUUACAGAGUUUGGUGGGCAGGUCUUUUUGGUUUUGUUCAUGAAGUUUCUUUUACCCAAAGAGAGCCAAUGUGGUGGCUCAGUUGGCAGAAGCUCUUAUAAUAGUUGUCUUCAGUGGACCUCAGAGGUUGCCAACUAUCUGAAUCUUUCUGUGUCUAGGGAAUUCCUGCUUUAUGUAUCUAGGUGACAGUUCAGAGCAUACUUCCCACUCUAAAAUUCUAAAUUGCUAGCAAGUCUGCUUUUUCAGCCUCCCUUGCAGCUAGAGUAUAGAUGUAUGCUCUAGGCAUUACUAAUUCUAUGCAUCCUUUCCCCCACCUUCCAUGUUGGUGGUUCAAGGUACAGGGUCUAAUGCUCAAUUGUUGCAGCUUCCUCACAAGAUUAGUUUUAUGCUUUGGUUUUAGACUUUUUUCUUAGCAUUGUCCCCAAGCUUCCCAGAUGUUCUGUGAGCUGUCAGUUUCUCUCUAAAAUUUCUUUAUUCUUAUAUUGGAGGCGGCCACUUUUGGCUGCUUGCUCACAGAGGCAAGUGAAGAGAAGGGACAAAAGAAAGGCCAACAAAAAGGAAAGACUUAAUUCCUGUGCUUAAAAGAAAUAUUUUCUUUUCAGUUGAAUAUGAAUAAGGAAGCACAGAGCCCUGAGUGCCACCUUCAGUCAUUUUGCAGUUGCAAGGGGGAGGGGGGAUCAGUUUGGGAUGAAGCCAAUAUGAGAAUGGCAGAGUGAAGAAGGGGAAAGCAUCUUGACGAUAUCCCUGAACCUUUAAUUUUACUUUACCUAGAGUCUGUUUUACUUCUGAUCUUGAAAUUAUCUGAGAUAAUACAUUUCCUUAUUGAUAAGCAAGCUUAAGUUGAAAUUUGUCAUUGUUACUACCUUCACUAACAAUAAAUACAAAUAAUGAUGCCUAAACUUUAUUGAGAACUUAAAUGUUCUCUUUUGUUGCAGGUACCUUUCAUUCACUCAGCUAAUAUUCAUUGAGCACUUACAUGUUAACUCAUUUAACUGCUGUAUCACACUAUAUUCAAAAUGUUUACAUAUUUGUCUCCAUAUAUCAUUCAUUCAGCCUACUUUUCACAAGCCUACCUUGUGUGUGUGUGAAGCAUAAUUCCAAAUGCUGGCCAUUUAGAAAUAAAUACUUUAUACUUGAAUUUGGUCAGCAGUUUAGUGGAGUAAGCAUUUAAAUCAAUAAAUAUUACCA
rnacentral:lncRNA from 1 species